CCAAUUCCAGAUUUUGAACUGGUCCUAUAUAUUCUAGCAGGUUUGAAUGUGGAAUAUGAUCCAUUCGUUACCUCUAUUGCUACCAAAACUGACCCCAUCUCUCUGGGUGAUCUUUAUGGUCAUUUGCUUUCUCAUGAGC